UCAGAUUGAACGCUGGCGGCAGGCCUAACCAUGCAAGUCGAGCGGAUGAAGGGAGCUUGCUCUCUGAUUCAGCGGCGGACGGGUGAGUAUGCCUAGGAAUCUGCCUGGUAGUGGGGGACAACGUUUCGAAAGGAACGCUAAUACCGCUACGUCCUACGGGAGAAAGUGGGGGAUCUUCGGACCUCACGCUAUCAGAUGAGCCUAGGCGGAUUAGCUAGUAGGUGAGGUAAUGGCUACACCUAGGCGACGAUCCGUAACUGGUCUGAGAGGAUGAUCAGUCACACUGGAACUGAGACACGGUCCAGACUCCUACGGGAGGCAGCAGUGGGGAAUAUUGGACAAUGGGCGAAAGCCUGAUCCAGCCAUUGAAGAAGGUCUUCGGAUUGUAAAGCACUUUAAGUUGGGAGGAAGGGCAGUAAGUUAAUACCUUGCUGUUUUGACGUUACCAACAGAAUAAGCACCGGCUAACUUCGUGCCAGCAGCCGCGGUAAUACGAAGGGUGCAAGCGUUAAUCGGAAUUACUGGGCGUAAAGCGCGCGUGGUGGGUUUGGUAAGAUGGAUGUGAAAUCCCCGGGCUCAACCUGGGAACUGCAUCCAUAACUGCCUGACUUAGAGUACGGUAGAGGGUGGUGGAAUUUCCUGUGUAGCGGUGAAAUGCGUAGAUAUAGGAAGGAACACCAGUGGCGAAGGCGACCACCUGGACUGAUACUGACACUGAGGUGCGAAAGCGUGGGGGAGCAAACAGGAUUAGAUACCCUGGUAGUCCACGCCGUAAACGAUGUCGACUAGCCGUUGGAAUCCUUGAGAUUUUAGUGGCG
rnacentral:rRNA from 1 species